rnacentral:rRNA from 1 species
GUGAGGAAUAUUGGUCAAUGGGCGGGAGCCUGAACCAGCCAAGUCGCGUGAAGGAAGAAGGAUCUAUGGUUCGUAAACUUCUUUUGCAGGGGAAUAAAGUGCAGGACGUGUCCUGUUUUGUAUGUACCCUGAGAAUAAGGAUCGGCUAACUCCGAGCCAGCAGCCGCGGUAAUACGGAGGAUCCGAGCGUUAUCCGGAUUUAUUGGGUUUAAAGGGUGCGUAGGUGGUUUGAUAAGUCAGCGGUGAAAGUUUGCAGCUUAACUGUAAAAAUGCCGUUGAAACUGUCGGACUUGAGUGUAAAUGAGGUAAGCGGAAUGCGUGGUGUAGCGGUGAAAUGCAUAGAUAUCACGCAGAACUCCGAUUGCGAAGGCAGCUUACUAAGCUACAACUGACACUGAAGCACGAAAGCGUAGGGAUCAAACAGGAUUAGAAUCCCUGGUAGUCC